CCGUCACAGUAUUUACACCACAGAAGGAAAGCGCGAGGGAUAAGAGAGAAAAUUAGGGAGUACUAGUAGCGAAGAAGGGUAAGAAGGUAAAAAUGGCAGCGGAAGCAGCGUUGGCGUUGCCACCGGGAUUCAGGUUCCAUCCAACAGACGAGGAGCUUGUGAUGCACUACCUCUGCCGCAAAUGCGCGUCUCAGUCGAUUGCUGUACCGAUUAUCGCCGAAAUCGAUCUCUACAAGUUCGAUCCGUGGGAUCUCCCAGGUAUGGCCUUGUAUGGGGAAAAGGAGUGGUAUUUCUUUUCACCUAGGGACAGGAAAUACCCAAACGGAUCGAGGCCGAACCGGGCGGCAGGGUCUGGUUACUGGAAGGCUACAGGAGCAGAUAAGCCAAU
rnacentral:misc_RNA from 1 species